GACGAACGCUGGCGGCGUGCUUAACACAUGCAAGUCGAACGGAAAGGCCCUGCUUUUGUGGGGUGCUCGAGUGGCGAACGGGUGAGUAACACGUGAGUAACCUGCCCUUGACUUUGGGAUAACUUCAGGAAACUGGGGCUAAUACCGGAUAGGAGCUCCUGCUGCAUGGUGGGGGUUGGAAAGUUUCGGCGGUUGGGGAUGGACUCGCGGCUUAUCAGCUUGUUGGUGGGGUAGUGGCUUACCAAGGCUUUGACGGGUAGCCGGCCUGAGAGGGUGACCGGCCACAUUGGGACUGAGAUACGGCACAGACUCCUACGGGAGGCAGCAGUGGGGAAUAUUGCACAAUGGGCGGCAGCCUGAUGCAGCAACGCCGCGUGCGGGAUGACGGCCUUCGGGUUGUAAACCGCUUUCGCCUGUGACGAAGCGUGAGUGACGGUAAUGGGUAAAGAAGCACCGGCUAACUACGUG
rnacentral:rRNA from 1 species